UAAAACGCUUCAGGAUGUGCUGUUACGGGAAAGUAAUCCAUUUCCUUGUGGUAAAAGUGACUCCGGGUUCAUCGCACGACCUGGUUGUUGAUUAUUCUCCUAUAACAGCAUAACACGGAGUGUUUUAUCACCUCAUUACUGAACAUUCUUCCUCCACAUGGCACAGUUAUUGUCUUAAUGCAAUACAGUCGCUCUAAAUAUUCAUUCGUUGUACUUAGUGUCACUUUAAUGUGAUGUAUUACUUGUAGAAUUUUUUUCUUUUUUUUACAACACACUAACUUCUCUUCAUUUAUGCUGAUGUUAUUCCUAUGUCGGUGAGUCACAUGCCUCCGGUAGGUUGGAUUUGUUUCCACAGGCCUGAAUUCUUUGGCAUGUAAAAUUCACGUAAUGUCAGAUUAGCAUUUACCCUGAAGGAAAAGGUGGAAAGGGGGUUGCUGAACCUUUGUUGGAUAUUCGAGAGGGGGAUGGGAAAAAAAGAAGAAAAAAAAGUUGCUGUUUCGAGUGUUGUUUUUAAACCAAUGUCGUUCUGCAGCUUUUCUUCAGCGUGUGAAUCUAGUGGAGAUUGAAUGGCGCAGUGCUGGGAGACCUCUGGUGUCAACAGGUGUAACUUCAGGACUCUCGGGUGGACGAUGUUGAACAUUGGAAAGUAAAAGAGGGCAGUGUUUGAGUUGUUUGCUGUACAAACACAUGGUACAACAGAUGGGGGAAAAAAGCCAGCUGGUUCCCUGAGAACAGCACGCGAAUAAGGGAAAAGAGCCUGUGGUAAACGUUUGAUGUAUUAUUUUCACAGCGGCACUUGCUUCAGCAUGUCUUAACCUUCUCCAAAUCACACGCAGGCUUUUUCAUUCAUCUUACCUUCACCGCACAGGAACACACAAUUGUGCGAAGAGUCAAAGGUUUUUCCUUUCAUCCUUGUUGGGACUGAAAGGUACUCAGACUGCGACGAUCGAGUACACAAAGAACCAAAUUGGUAGUCAUUCAAAAAUUAGAAAGAAAGAAAAAAGGAAACGUGGAUAACGUAUUUUGAUGAGUAACGAGCCUCUGUUUCUUUUGGUGUCUGAAUAUUACGUUCUGCACAUACAGUUCUGUGCAAAAAAGUUUGUGCCCCACCUCACUUAAGUUUUUUUUUGUUUUGUAGAUUAAAAUUAUCCAUCCAUCCAUCUUCUACCUGGAGGCUAUCCCAGGGAGCAUCGGGCCCAAGGCAGGGUACACCCUGGACAGGUUGCCAAUCCAUUGCAGGGCACAAUCACAUAGACACGCCAAUCAGCCUACCAUCCAUGUCUUUGGACUGGGGGAGGAAACCUCCGCAGCACGGGGAGAACAUGCAAACUCCGCACACACAUGGCCCUGGCGGGACUCGAACCCUGGAUCCUGGAGGUGUGAAGCGAACUUGCUAAUCACUAAGCCAGAUUAAAAUGAUAUUAUUAAAAAUGAUAAUUAAGACAUCAAAAA